AAAGAUUAAGCCAUGCAUGUCUGAGUUCACGCCCUUUAAACGGGUAGACUGUGAACGGCUCAUUACAACAGUUAAAAUCCGCGCGAAGUUAGUCUCUUGGAUACUUCUAGUAAUUCUGGAGCUAAUACACGUGUGCACUUCGGUGUCAUUUAUUAGAUUCACCAACCGCUUCGGCGUUAAGUGAUGAUUCUGAAUAUCUUGCAGACCGCAUGCGAAAGCGGCGGCGGUUCGCGCAAUUAACUGCCCUAUCAACUUUUGAUGGUAGUUUAGUUGACUACCAUGGUCGUAACGGGUAACGGAGGAUCAGGGUUUGACUCCGGAGAGGAUGCCUGAGAAACGGCAACCACAUCUAAGGAAGGCAGCAGGCGCGCAAAUUACCCACUCUCAAUUCGAGGAGGUAGUGACAACAACUAACGAGACUGCUCCCUUUGGGAACAGUCAUCGAAAUGGGUACAAUUUAAACCCUUUAACGAGGAUCAAUGAGAGGGUAAGUCUGGUGCCAGCAGCCGCGGUAAUUCCAGCUCUCAAAGUGUAUGUCAUUAUUGCUGCGGUUAAAAAGCUCGUAGUUGGAUCUGAGCCUUUGGCGACAGUUCGUUUUCAUGCGAUACUGUGGCCGGGGUUAAUUUUGUCGGUUCGCCGGCAAGAGUUACUCUGAAUAAAUCAGAGUGCUCAAAACAAGCGUUUCGCUUGAAUGUUUUUGCAUGGAAUAAUGGAAAAGGACUUCGGUUCCUUACUGUUGGUUUCGGAAUUGGAUUAAUGAUUAAGAGGGACCAACGGGGGCAUGCGUACCGCUACGCGAGAGGUGAAAUUCAUGGACCGUAGCGUGACGACCUAAAGCGAAAGCAUUUGCCGAGAAUG
rnacentral:rRNA from 1 species